CCGUUCCAAAAAUCACCUCAUUGUGUGCUUCGAUUCGUAUUACUGUAGGUCUCUACCUCGCGCUCUAACUCCUUCCCUAAUAAAGUGGAACAUAGCCACAAAACACACGACAAUUUCCAAACGUCCCUAAUAAAUACAUUCUGCUCCCAACGUUCACAGGCUGCCGGCCAAGCCCAGGAAGAGCAUAAAAAGUGUCAGAAGAUGACUUUAUGACCCCCCCCCCCCCCCCACCCUUCCAGAGCGAGAACACCAACCCUGGAGGCAUACGUGUCUUUAGAUACUCCUCCCGUGUCAUUUUGUUUAAUAAAAGCUCGGGAGUGUAUUUGCAUGGCAUCUUAACGCCAGGAUUAACAAAAGCACCUGACAAUGGAGACCCGCCGGGUUGUGUGAUCCCCGGCGGUGGUACUCAUCCGAUGAGGAUCCUCAAGCCCCCAAGCUCUCAUUUUAUACAUCGCACCUGUUACGGAAGUUGUGUGGCUUCUUCAUCUUCUUACUUGGCCUGACGAUGGAGGCUGGUUCUACCACCACCACAACGGCGGCAAACAGCAUCAGCAGCAACGUGAGCAGUCCAGAAAGAGAAGACACUGUCAGGAGAGACAAUCCUGGAGAAGCCACGAAAACGGACAAUGUCCCUGGAGAGUGUCAACAGUCUUUGCCAGAGACUUGAGAGCUAAGUGACAAAGCCUCGCGGAUGUCUUCAUCUGACGAGCGCACCUGACAUGUCUUGACUUCCGCCUCUCCGUGUUCCCCAAACGUGCGCGUCGCCCUUUUC